CGGGCAGCCGUGACCCUGCUGGAGUGCGGGGGGGACCUCCAGCCCUGCGGGGGGUCCCUGACGUUGCUGUGCCGAGGGGCCGGGUUCAGUUUUGGCAGUGUUGCCAUGAGCUGGGUCCAUCAGAGACCCGGGCAGGGGCUGGAGGUCGUCGCCUACAUCCGCAGCGGUGGCAGCGCCUGGUACGCGGAUUCAGUCAAGGGCCGGUUCACGAUCGCCAGGAACAAUGGGCAGAGUCUGAUGACGCUGACCAUGACCAACCUCAAGGACGAGGAUUCCGGUGUUUAUUUCUGUGCCAAGGACGGGGAUGAUUGUUGUGCUGCUGUUGCUGGUGAUGAUAUUGAUUGUGGUGAUGUUGGUCAUGGUGGCUUUGGCCCCAUCCCCAUCUUUGAGUGCCCCCAUGUCCCAAACCCCAGACCCUUCCCCCAAACCUCACCCCGUGACUCAGCUUGUGACCCUUUCUCCCCAUUUGCACCCAUGGUCAGCACUGACCCCAACCCUAACUGGUUCUGCCCCAAAUCUCAACCAUUGGGCCCAAACCUUCGCCUGCGACUUCCAAUUGGCCUCCUCCAAUGA